rnacentral:rRNA from 1 species
CUGUGAGGGUUGCUGGAGGUAUCAGAAGUGCGAAUGCUGACAUAAGUAACGAUAAAGCGGGUGAAAAGCCCGCUCGCCGGAAGACCAAGGGUUCCUGUCCAACGUUAAUCGGGGCAGGGUGAGUCGACCCCUAAGGCGAGGCCGAAAGGCGUAGUCGAUGGGAAACAGGUUAAUAUUCCUGUACUUGGUGUUACUGCGAAGGGGGGACGGAGAAGGCUAUGUUGGCCGGGCGACGGUUGUCCCGGUUUAAGCGUGUAGGCUGGUUUUCCAGGCAAAUCCGGAAAAUCAAGGCUGAGGCGUGAUGACGAGGCACUACGGUGCUGAAGCGACAAAUGCCCUGCUUCCAGGAAAAGCCUCUAAGCAUCAGGUAACAUCAAAUCGUACCCCAAACCGACACAGGUGGUCAGGUAGAGAAUACCAAGGCGCUUGAGAGAACUCGGGUGAAGGAACUAGGCAAAAUGGUGCCGUAACUUCGGGAGAAGGCACGCUGAUAUGUAGGUGAAGCGACUUGCUCGUGGAGCUGAAAUCAGUCGAAGAUACCAGCUGGCUGCAACUGUUUAUUAAAAACACAGCACUGUGCAAACACGAAAGUGGACGUAUACGGUGUGACGCCUGCCCGGUGCCGGAAGGUUAAUUGAUGGGGUUAGCGGUAACGCGAAGCUCUUGAUCGAAGCCCCGGUAAACGGCGGCCGUAACUAUAACGGUCCUAAGGUAGCGAAAUUCCUUGUCGGGUAAGUUCCGACCUGCACGAAUGGCGUAAUGAUGGCCAGGCUGUCUCCACCCGAGACUCAGUGAAAUUGAACUCGCUGUGAAGAUGCAGUGUACCCGCGGCAAGACGGAAAGACCCCGUGAACCUUUACUAUAGCUUGACACUGAACAUUGAGCCUUGAUGUGUAGGAUAGGUGGGAGGCUUUGAAGUGUGGACGCCAGUCUGCAUGGAGCCGACCUUGAAAUACCACCCUUUAAUGUUUGAUGUUCUAACGUGGGCCCCUUACCGGGGUUGCGGACAGUGUCUGGUGGGUAGUUUGACUGGGGCGGUCUCCUCCUAAAGAGUAACGGAGGAGCACGAAGGUUGGCUAAUCCUGGUCGGACAUCAGGAGGUUAGUGCAAUGGCAUAAGCCAGCUUGACUGCGAGCGUGACGGCGCGAGCAGGUGCGAAAGCAGGUCAUAGUGAUCCGGUGGUUCUGAAUGGAAGGGCCAUCGCUCAACGGAUAAAAGGUACUCCGGGGAUAACAGGCUGAUACCGCCCAAGAGUUCAUAUCGACGGCGGUGUUUGGCACCUCGAUGUCGGCUCAUCACAUCCUGGGGCUGAAGUAGGUCCCAAGGGUAUGGCUGUUCGCCAUUUAAAGUGGUACGCGAGCUGGGUUUAGAACGUCGUGAGACAGUUCGGUCCCUAUCUGCCGUGGGCGCUGGAGAACUGAGGGGGGCUGCUCCUAGUACGAGAGGACCGGAGUGGACGCAUCACUGGUGUUCGGGUUGUCAUGCCAAUGGCACUGCCCGGUAGCUAAAUGCGGAAGAGAUAAGUGCUGAAAGCAUCUAAGCACGAAACUUGCCCCGAGAUGAGUUCUCCCUGACUCCUUGAGAGUCCUGAAGGAACGUUGAAGACGACGACGUUGAUAGGCCGGGUGUGUAAGCGCAGCGAUGCGUUGAGCUAACCGGUACUAAUGAACCGUGAGGCUUAACCUU